rnacentral:rRNA from 1 species
UCGAGAAUAUUCGACAAUGGGCGAAAGCCUGAUCGAGCGACGCCGCGUGCAGGAUGAAGGCCCUCGGGUUGUAAACUGCGGUAGUAGGGGAGGAACGCAAGUGACUGUACCCUACGGAAAGUGGUUGGUAACUACGUGCCAGCACCAGCGGUAAUACGUAGACCACAAGCGUUAUCCGGAUUUAUUGGGCGUAAAGAGCAUGUAGGAGGUCCGGUGCGUCUCUGGUUAAAGCCCACCGCCUAACGGUGGAAGUGCCAGAGAUACGAUCGGACUGGAGGAUGUGAGAGGUGCAUGGAACUCACGGUGUAGGGGUGAAAUCCGUUGAUAUCGUGGGGAACACCAAAGGCGAAGGCAGCGCACUGGCCAAAAUCUGACGCUCACACACGAAAGCUAGGGUAGCGAAGAGGAUUAGAUACCCCAGUAGUCCCUGA